rnacentral:rRNA from 1 species
AGGCGAAAAGAACCCCGGCGAGGGGAGUGAAAAAGAACCUGAAACCGUGUACGUACAAGCAGUGGGAGCACCCUUUGGGGUGUGACUGCGUACCUUUUGUAUAAUGGGUCAGCGACUUAUAUUCUGUAGCAAGGUUAACCGAAUAGGGGAGCCGGAGGGAAACCGAGUCUUAAUUGGGCGUUAAGUUGCAGGGUAUAGACCCGAAACCCGGUGAUCUAGCCAUGGGCAGGUUGAAGGUUGGGUAACACUAACUGGAGGACCGAACCGACUAAUGUUGAAAAAUUAGCGGAUGACCUGUGGCUGGGGGUGAAAGGCCAAUCAAACCGGGAGAUAGCUGGUUCUCCCCGAAAGCUAUUUAGGUAGCGCCUCGUGAAUUCAUCUCCGGGGGUAGAGCACUGUUUCGGCUAGGGGGCCAUCCCGGCUUACCAACCCGAUGCAAACUGCGAAUACCGGAGAAUGUUAUCACGGGAGACACACGGCGGGUGCUAACGUCCGUCGUGAAGAGGGAAACAACCCAGACCGCCAGCUAAGGUCCCAAAGUCAUGGUUAAGUGGGAAACGAUGUGGGAAGGCCCAGACAGCCAGGAUGUUGGCUUAGAAGCAGCCAUCAUUUAAAGAAAGCGUAAUAGCUCACUGGUCGAGUCGGCCUGCGCGGAAGAUGUAACGGGGCUAAACCAUGCACCGAAGCUGCGGCAGCGACACUCAGGUGUUGUUGGGUAGGGGAGCGUUCUGUAAGCCUGUGAAGGUGGCCUGUGAGGGUUGCUGGAGGUAUCAGAAGUGCGAAUGCUGACAUAAGUAACGAUAAAGCGGGUGAAAAGCCCGCUCGCCGGAAGACCAAGGGUUCCUGUCCAACGUUAAUCGGGGCAGGGUGAGUCGACCCCUAAGGCGAGGCCGAAAGGCGUAGUCGAUGGGAAACAGGUUAAUAUUCCUGUACUUGGUGUUACUGCGAAGGGGGGACGGAGAAGGCUAUGUUGGCCGGGCGACGGUUGUCCCGGUUUAAGCGUGUAGGUGUGUGUUCCAGGUAAAUCCGGUUCACUUUAACACUGAGGCGUGAUGACGAGGCACUACGGUGCUGAAGCAACAAAUGCCCUGCUUCCAGGAAAAGCCUCUAAGCAUCAGGUAACAUCAAAUCGUACCCCAAACCGACACAGGUGGUCAGGUAGAGAAUACCAAGGCGCUUGAGAGAACUCGGGUGAAGGAACUAGGCAAAAUGGUGCCGUAACUUCGGGAGAAGGCACGCUGACACGUAGGUGAAGUGAUUUACUCAUGGAGCUGAAGUCAGUCGAAGAUACCAGCUGGCUGCAACUGUUUAUUAAAAACACAGCACUGUGCAAACACGAAAGUGGACGUAUACGGUGUGACGCCUGCCCGGUGCCGGAAGGUUAAUUGAUGGGGUCAGCGCAAGCGAAGCUCCUGAUCGAAGCCCCGGUAAACGGCGGCCGUAACUAUAACGGUCCUAAGGUAGCGAAAUUCCUUGUCGGGUAAGUUCCGACCUGCACGAAUGGCGUAAUGAUGGCCAGGCUGUCUCCACCCGAGACUCAGUGAAAUUGAACUCGCUGUGAAGAUGCAGUGUACCCGCGGCAAGACGGAAAGACCCCGUGAACCUUUACUAUAGCUUGACACUGAACAUUGAGCCUUGAUGUGUAGGAUAGGUGGGAGGCUUUGAAGCGUGGACGCCAGUCUGCGUGGAGCCGACCUUGAAAUACCACCCUUUAAUGUUUGAUGUUCUAACGUGGACCCGUGAUCCGGGUUGCGGACAGUGUCUGGUGGGUAGUUUGACUGGGGCGGUCUCCUCCUAAAGAGUAACGGAGGAGCACGAAGGUUGGCUAAUCCUGGUCGGACAUCAGGAGGUUAGUGCAAUGGCAUAAGCCAGCUUGACUGCGAGCGUGACGGCGCGAGCAGGUGCGAAAGCAGGUCAUAGUGAUCCGGUGGUUCUGAAUGGAAGGGCCAUCGCUCAACGGAUAAAAGGUACUCCGGGGAUAACAGGCUGAUACCGCCCAAGAGUUCAUAUCGACGGCGGUGUUUGGCACCUCGAUGUCGGCUCAUCACAUCCUGGGGCUGAAGUAGGUCCCAAGGGUAUGGCUGUUCGCCAUUUAAAGUGGUACGCGAGCUGGGUUUAGAACGUCGUGAGACAGUUCGGUCCCUAUCUGCCGUGGGCGCUGGAGAACUGAGGGGGGCUGCUCCUAGUACGAGAGGACCGGAGUGGACGCAUCACUGGUGUUCGGGUUGUCAUGCCAAUGGCACUGCCCGGUAGCUAAAUGCGGAAGAGAUAAGUGCUGAAAGCAUCUAAGCACGAAACUUGCCCCGAGAUGAGUUCUCCCUGAGACUUAAAGUCUCCUGAAGGAACGUUGAAGACGACGACGUUGAUAGGCCGGGUGUGUAAGCGCAGCGAUGCGUUGAGCUAACCGGUACUAAUGAACCGUGAGGCUUAACCUUACA